rnacentral:rRNA from 1 species
GAGUCAAUGUAGCAAUACAUGGCAUACUGCUCAGUAACACGUGGAUAACCUGCCCUUGGGACCGGCAUAACCCCGGGAAACUGGGGAUAAUUCCGGAUAACGCAUAUAUGCUGGAAUGCUUUAUGCGUGAAAUGGAUUCGUCUGCCCAAGGAUGGGUCUGCGGCCUAUCAGGUAGUAGUGGGUGUAAUGUACCUACUAGCCUACAACGGGUACGGGUUGUGAGAGCAAGAGCCCGGAGAUGGAUUCUGAGACAUGAACCCAGGCCCUACGGGGCGCAGCAGGCGCGAAAACUUUACAAUGCGGGAAACCGUGAUAAGGGGACACCGAGUGCCAGCAUCAUAUGCUGGCUGUCCAGGUGUGUAAAAUACACCUGUUAGCAAGGGCCGGGCAAGACCGGUGCCAGCCGCCGCGGUAACACCGGCGGCCCGAGUGGUGAUCGUGAUUAUUGGGUCUAAAGGGUCCGUAGCCGGUUUGGUCAGUCCUCCGGGAAAUCUGACAGCUCAACUGUUAGGCUUUCGGGGGAUACUGCCAGACUUGGAACCGGGAGAGGUAAGAGGUGCUACAGGGGUAGGAGUGAAAUCUUGUAAUCCCUGUGGGACCACCUGUGGCGAAGGCGUCUUACCAGGGCGGGUUCGACGGUGAGGGACGAAAGCUGGGGGCACGAACCGGAUUAGAUACCCGGGUAGUCCCAGCCGUAAACGAUGCUCGCUAGGUGUCAGGCAUGGCGCGACCGCGUCU